AGAUGUGUGGAUGGAAGCAGUCAAGAGAAGAGUGGAAUGUGGGCUUAGAAGAUGGAGAAGGCUCUGUACCCAGUUGGCGUAUGGCCUCUUGAAGUUGGAAAAGCCAAGGAAAUGAAUUCUUCUCUAAAGCCUCCAAAGUAAAAAUGCAGCCCUGUGAGUACCUUGGUUACCAAGGAGACCACUUCAAACGGAGCUGUGUUCUGCUGGGUGUGCUCAUUUGUCUCAGCAGUUAGAGGAAACUCUGACCAAAACUUGACUCGGUUUCUGAGUCUGUUCUGACUAGCCUGGUCAGGAGCUCCCCUCUCUGUCCUUGGCCAAUUCACUUGGAGCAAAAAUCCUGUCCAGGUGGCAGUGGCUUGGGCAAGGGGAGCCAUUUUCUCUAGCAGUGUGAUGCUGGUGAGCUACCUGUGGCCAGCAAACAACUGUCACUAAACUUGGUCACAAAACAAAAAGGACAUGAAGGUACCAGCAGGAUGUCUUGGAAAGAAGAAAAGGGGAAGGAGACAAAAAUAGGACUUUCUCUCAUAGUAAAAAUAUACAACACAACCUCUGCUCUUUCGUUGUGCUUGGCUUCGCUUCGGAGCACACGCCCAGGCUCAGUGGGUGAGAUUGCAGAUAGGUAACAAAUGCCUACGAAAUGAACUAGAAGGAAAUCCAGCCAAUGCCUUUCCGUCUCGGGACAGUGUUUAUGUUUAUAAAUAUCUUCAAGGUAUAUGGGGUUGUCCCCACCAUCACUCAGGGGGCUCUCCUGAACCUGACAUUCAUCUCUUGGGCCAGGCUGGCUGGCUGAUCAAUGAGCUCCAGGAACCUGCCUGCCUCCACUCCCCCAGUGCUGCGGUUACAGGAAGUGUGCAUGCUUUGGGAUCCACACAACUGACUGGAACACCAUCGCAUGAAAGGCUACAUAGUAGAGAUGAUCUCUACGGCCCAGGGGACCUGUCCUUUGGGCUGCUCCCAGAGCAAUGGUAACACAAGAUUCCAGGAAUCCAUCCUCAAAUCUAGAAACUCAAUCCAAUGACACACACCUGCAGUGAUGACCAGUCCCUUCACUGAGUAAGCAGAGGGCACAUAGACAGCUAUGGGUGGAAGAUGAAACCAUCGCAACCGCAUAGACAACGGUGUCAACACUGGAACCAAUGCCGGGCCAAGCAGGGACCUGGCCUAAUUCUCCAGCCAAGUGGAAGCAUUGUGCAAAUCUGCAACCGCCUCUGCAUCAUGACUGUCUAAUCCUAAUUGUAAUGUCAUCUGCUCCAGUCAGGUCUUUUGCACACAGGGCUCACUGUCAGGGUCCCCUACAGCUUUAGUAGCCCAACUUUCUUCAGCCCUUUUGGUUGGCAACAGUUUCUCCAUAUCUGUCUGAAGGAUGGAGACCUGUUGGAGAAUAUUCAGUGAGGUAUCUGUCGGGCAUUUCUUCAUGACUUGGCUCAGGUAUCCUGGGUGAAAACAACACAAAAAUAAAAGUCAGACUCAUCCCUUUC
rnacentral:lncRNA from 1 species